CCUACGGUCGGCAGCAGUGGGGAAUAUUGGACAAUGGGGGGAACCCUGAUCCAGCCAUGCCGCGUGUGUGAAGAAGGCCCUCGGGUUGUAAAGCACUUUCAGUGAGGAAGAACGCCUGGUGGUUAAUACCCAUCAGGAAAGACAUCACUCACAGAAGAAGCACCGGCUAACUCCGUGCCAGCAGCCGCGGUAAUACGGAGGGUGCGAGCGUUAAUCGGAAUUACUGGGCGUAAAGCGCGCGUAGGUGGCUUGAUAAGCCGGUUGUGAAAGCCCCGGGCUCAACCUGGGAACGGCAUCCGGAACUGUCAAGCUAGAGUGCAGGAGAGGAAGGUAGAAUUCCCGGUGUAGCGGUGAAAUGCGUAGAGAUCGGGAGGAAUACCAGUGGCGAAGGCGGCCUUCUGGACUGACACUGACACUGAGGUGCGAAAGCGUGGGUAGCAAACAGGAUUAGAUACCCUUGUAGUC
rnacentral:rRNA from 1 species